CGGGGUGCAGCAGGCGCGAAAACUUUACAAUGCUGGAAACAGCGAUAGGGGGACUUUGAGUGCCAGGAUACAAUCUUGGCUGUCGUAAUGCCUAAAAAGCAUUGCAUAGCAAGGGCCGGGCAAGACCGGUGCCAGCCGCCGCGGUAACACCGGCGGCUCGAGUGGUAACCGCUAUUAUUGGGUCUAAAGGGUCUGUAGCCGGCUGGAUAAGUCUCUUGGGAAAUCCGACAGCUUAACUGUCGGGCUUUCAGGAGAUACUGUCCGGCUCGAGACCGGGAGAGGUGAGAGGUACUUCAUGGGUAGGGGUGAAAUCUUGUAAUCCUUGAAGGACCACCAGUGGCGAAGGCGUCUCACCAGAACGGAUCUGACGGCAAGGGACGAAAGCUAGGGGCACGAACCGGAUUAGAUACCCGGGUAGUCCUAGCCGUAAACGGUACUCGCUAGGUGUCAGCCACGGUGCGACCGUGGUUGGUGCCGUAGGGAAGCCGUGAAGCGAGCCACCUGGGAAGUACGGCCGCAAGGCUGAAACUUAAAGGAAUCGGCGGGGGAGCAC
rnacentral:rRNA from 1 species